rnacentral:rRNA from 1 species
AUUGAACGCUGGCGGCAUGCCUUACACAUGCAAGUCGAACGGCAGCAUGAUCUAGCUUGCUAGAUUGAUGGCGAGUGGCGAACGGGUGAGUAAUACAUCGGAACGUGCCCUGUAGUGGGGGAUAACUAGUCGAAAGAUUAGCUAAUACCGCAUACGACCUGAGGGUGAAAGUGGGGGAUCGCAAGGCCGCAUGCUCUAGGAGCGGCCGAUGUCUGAUUAGCUAGUUGGUGAGGUAAAGGCUCACCAAGGCGACGAUCAGUAGCUGGUCUGAGAGGACGAUCAGCCCCACUGGGACUGAGACACGGCCAUGACUCCUACGGGAGGCAGCAGUGGGGAAUUUUGGACAAAGGGCGGAAGCCUGGUCCAGCAAUGCCGCGUGUUUGAAGAAGGCCUUCGGGUUGUAAAGCACUUUUGUCCGGAAAGAAAUGGCUCUGGUUAAUACCUGGGGUCGAUGACGGUACCGGAAGAAUAAGGACCGGCUGACUACGUG